UUUCACACCCUUUAUUAAUUGAUUUCAUUAAUUUGGUUUGCUUUUGGAUUGAUGUUGGCUUAGAUGGAAUAUAUGAUGAGCUUAUGAUGAUAAAAACAAUUAUCUUAGCGGAUUUCAGUGAGGUUUUUAUUGAUCAAUGAUCUGAAUUUGUUACACACACUGAAGCUCUUGUGUCUACCUAGUUUAUGUUUUUUUAUUAUAAUAUACUUUUGAUGCUAUGAUGAGAUGAAAGCACGAAGAGUGUAAGAAGAGCAGUGGACAAUUACAAAUUCUGUAAAGGGUUUGUUUUGCCGUGAGCUUUACUAAUUAAACGACUUCUCCUUCCACUGAGCAUAUUGAAAUUAUUUUUUGAGUGUUUUUUGGGCGUCCAUUACCAAUUCUGAGGGAUAAGACAAUUCCUUCAGGGUUGACGAAGCUCAUUGAUGUGUCGCCACCCCUUUUGUCAAGAGUUUUGAAUGGCGCGAAGCUUUUAAGAGGCUGAGAUUGGUGGGAGGCCAAGAAGCUAUAAUACGAUGUGAUUUCCAGUUCGUUUUGGUUAUUUAAGCUCAUACUGUGUCCCUUUAAUCUCUGGCCUUCCUAUUUUGGUAGCUGUUUUGUUUUUUUUUGGAGAAGAAUGUAAAUAACAAAAUGUAACGACACAAAACUAAUAAUAGUGCAUCAUUUUUUCCUUA